rnacentral:lncRNA from 1 species
AAGCUUAGUAAGUUGCAUAUAAAUAAGAAAAAAACAUCAACCAUGCAUAUUAUUAAUCAACACAACAUUCUUGAGUGAACAUGGGUAAAUAUCACUACAUGCUUAUAUAUAUCACUAGUAUAAACCAAAGAUUUCAAUAUCGUCCCAAGAUCAUUUUCAUAGCUAGAACUUACUCAUGUCAUUCUUACCAUCAAGGCAACGUAACUAGACUCCUAUCUCUUGAGUUCGAAUA